ACCGCCUGCUAUUUGGGUGAGGAUAGCCAUGCGAGUCGAAUGGGAUACCUAAAUUUCCCAUGGCGAACUGCUCAGUAACACAUGAUCAACUUACCCUAUUGAGAAAGAUAACCUCGGGAAACUGAGGAUAAUAUUUCAUAGUUGAAUUGGCUUGGAAAAGUUUUUCAACAAAAGGGAUAGGGAAAAUGGUCUCUAUCCGCUAUAGGAUAGGAUCGUGUUCGAUUAUGGUAGUUGGUGAGGUAACGGCUCACCAAGCCGAUAAUCGAUAGGGGCCGUGAGAGCGGGAGCCCCGAGAUGGGUACUGAGACAACGACCCAGGCCUUACGAGGCGCAGCAGGUACGAAACCUCCACAAUACACGAAAGUGUGAUGGGGUUACCCAAAGUGUUCAUUAUUGAACUGUGGUAGGAGAGUAAUGUCCCCUACUAGAAAGGAGAGGGCAAGGCUGGUGCCAGCCGCCGCGGUAAAACCAGCUCUUCAAGUGGUCGGGAUAAUUAUUGGGCUUAAAGUGUCCGUAGCCGGUUUGGUAAGUUCCUGGUAAAAUCGGAUAGCUUAACUAUCUGUAUGCUAGGAAUACUGCUAUACUAGAGGGCGGGAGAGGUCUGAGGUACUACAGGGGUAGGGGUGAAAUCUUAUAAUCCUUGCAGGACCACCAGUGGCGAAGGCGUCAGACUGGAACGCGCCUGACGGUGAGGGACGAAAGCCAGGGGAGCGAACCGGAUUAAAUACCCGGG
rnacentral:rRNA from 1 species